GGCUCAGUAGCUUAGUUGGUAAAGGCUCGUCUAGCAUACAAGAGUCCUGGGUUCAAAUCCCAGCCGAGUAC
rnacentral:tRNA from 1 species